CAGGAGGUCACUGAAUUGGGAAGACCAAACAAGGAGGAGAAUGGAGGAAGGACUUGUGAGAGGGAAUAAUGGAAGGGACAGCUAAAACUAAGGGCCAUUUGAGACAUAGUAUGGAAACCUUACACAGGAGAAUCCCCUAAAAUAUGUACAUUUCUGAAGGUGAGGAGAGAGAGAUAUUCUCAACUGAACAUUUUUCAUCACCAGAUGAAACUUCCAGGACUGGGAAUGGGCUACAUCUAAUUGAGUCUUUGGUCAAAGGGAACACAUCUGAACCCCAAAUAAUUGAGUCUACUGGUGGCUCUCCACAAACUGACAGCAAGGCCCUAUUGCUGAAGACAACACCUAUGCAACUCAUUGAAUAUGGAGAGGUCAAGAUAGACCUAUCUGGAGUCCUCACUUCCAUGGCCUAGUGUUCAUGGUCCUGAUCAGUGUCUUGCUCAGCCAAUAUCAGAGAAGCUUUCUUCUGCAGCAGAUGAGAACAAAUGCUGAGACCCACAGCCAGAAAAUAUGCAGAGAAUGAGAGAUCCUAGAACACUCAUCCAUAAAAGAUGCCUGUUUUCUAAGGAGCCACAGGAAGAGCAUGGACCCAGAUGGGAGGGGAGAAGGGAAGCAACUCUGAGGAAUAGGGGGAAGGAAAGCCAUACUCUUUUUAAUCAAAGAAGAAAUUACUUUUGAAGAUUUUCAUUUUGGGGGCUGGAGAGAUGGCUCAGCAGGUGACCGUGCCCACAGCUAAAUUUGAAAGGACUCACAAGGCAGCGGAUGCAUCUAGGGUCUGGCCCAGCAGAUGGCAGAUAGAGCCCGGGAAACGAAGGUGGCAGCAAGAAGCCGAGAUAUAGUCCCAGGGGCAAAAUGAUCUCCUGGCAUAAUUUGGAAUCACAGCUCCAUAAAGUGUAACAAGCCCUUCAAAUGAAGCCAAAGCCCACCAACAUUUUCAAGAAGUCUCAGCAGAAUAUCUCAUCAGCCACUAUCAGACCUUCCUAACAUGUGUUCUUUGUAGCUCCACUUACUGGAACAAGAAUGAAGACCACCUGUGAUGAAUACUCACAUGGUUUGUGUGGCUGACAAAUGAGAAUUGCCAGAAUGACAGUGGUCUUGAACAACUGAUCUCAAGCACAUGCUUCUAUGGUUCUGUUAGCCUGUCCGAAAAUUCUGUCAAAUGAAUGGUGGAAGCAAGGCAACA
rnacentral:lncRNA from 1 species